UACGUAGGGCGCAAGCGUUGUCCGGAAUUACUGGGCGUAAAGAGCGCGCAGGCGGCCAAGUCAGUCGAAUGUGAAAGCCCCCCGGCUUAACUGGGGAGGGUCACGCGAUACUGAUCGACUCGAAGGCAGGAGAGGGUAGUGGAAUUCCCGGUGUAGUGGUGAAAUGCGUAGAUAUCGGGAGGAACACCAGUGGCGAAGGCGACUACCUGGCCUGUUCUUGACGCUGAGGCGCGAAAGCUAGGGGAGCAAACGGGG
rnacentral:rRNA from 1 species